ACACAUAUGUGUAUAUAUAUCUCACAUAGAGAGAGAGAGAAGAGGGAAAGACAGAGAGAGAGACAAAAAUGUCCCCGCAUUUUGCUCCAAAUAAUUACAAUAAUGAGACUACAACCUAAUAGGGAGAAAACUUUAGGCAAAAAGAUGUUUACCACAGAACUAUUUUUUUAAAAAGAAGACCCCAACCAACUAAAUAACCAACAGGGAAACGACUGUAUAUACUUAAAAAAAAAUAUUAUGCAGCCAGUAUGCCUGUUUGUAAAAUAAUGUUAAGUGAAAAAAAGCAGACUUCAGAAUUGAACAUUAUAGCACAAUUAAAACUAGAAAAAAGAAAAAGAAGGCAAAGGGACUAUCCUAAACCGCAGCUGAUUUUGGAGAGUGGACCCAUAAGGGUUUUUCUCCGCUUUUCCACUGUCCUGUAAGAAGCUCGUGUUCACCUUAUUUGAACGACUGCUAAGGUGCAGGUCCAGGGUGCGUCCCAGAAUGAUGGGGGCCUUGGCGCUCCAAAAGAAAGAAGCCGCUUCCCCACUCCUUGAGAAACGACCAUCUCUCCGAGGGCUGCUGUGACCCCCCAGGCCUGGAAAGGUCCUAGGCAGGGGACGGCAGCUCCCUGCGACCGAGCCUGGGGCGCUGGAACAGGGCGGGCUCGGCAGAUCGCCGGGCGCCGCGGGCCCCGGGGCUGUCGGCCGAAGGCACCCGAAAGCUCGGCGGGUCCGAGAGAGGGCGGCAGCCAGCAGGGAGAGGGGGUCUCCCCGGAGGGGGAUGCAGGGUCUCGGUGCGGGUGACACACGACUCGCAGGGAGCCUACCCUUCGCCCGGCUCGCUGAGAUUUCCCAGGCUUCUAGAGUUUUUAAACACACACAAGGAUUGAAUUAUUCGGAGAGCUCAGCAGAAACAACCGGGAUUAAGGAGAGGAAAGCUGAUCGAGCCAUAAAGCGACAAGUGCUGCCACCUCUCCCGCCCUCAGCCGGCCUGCCAGGGGUCCGGCUGAAGCCUCACCACUGCCCCCACCCGCAGGGUCCCGGGCAUCGCCGCCCAGCGCCGGAGAACCUGCUCCACGUGCGCCGAGACGCAUGGGGGCCGCGAGGAGGAGGGCCCUGCAGUCUCGCAGGUAAAAGCCCUCUCGGACAUCAAAACCGGGAUUCCACAUUAACAAGAAUGGAAGAAAAGCCCCUAAUACAGGCCCUAAAAUACCCACGUUUGUCCCUCCAGCGUGAGGGGGCAGGCCCGAUUGAUUUAAGCAUUGGAAUUCCUCAGAGAUGAGGGGCUGUCAGCCUCAGCACGUCAGUGGCCAGCAGACAUUGACCCUCAGACAUACCCUAAAGGGAUGGGGGCUCUCGUUGUAAAAGCAUAAGGAAGAAUUCCAAAAUAAUAUGAAUAAUCCCACGCGAAUAGAUCUGUUCUGUAAAUUCACAUUUUUUUUUUAAGAUUUUUAAAUUUUUUCCUUUUUCUCCCCAAAGCCCCCCGGUGCAUAGUUGUACAUUCUUUGUUGUGGGUCCUUCUAGUUGUGGCAUGCGGGACACUGCCUCAGCGUGGUUUGAUGAGCAGUGCCAUGUCCGCGCCCAGGAUUCAAACCAACGAAACACUGGGCCGCCUGCAGCAGAGCGCAGGAACUUAACCACUCGGCCACGGGGCCAGCCCCCUGUAAAUUCACAUUUUUAAAUUUACUUUUUCCAAAAAGGUUUAAAAGGAGUGUUUCUUUGAAAUACUGUUAAUAAACAUGUAAAAAUAUUAAGAAGAAAACAAAGUAUAUUUCUAUUAAAUUGAUUUUUUUAAAAAUCUUGAAAUAGUGAGAUGUGUUUGCUUAACAGACACACAGUGCCUAACACUUGCAUCGGCACUGUGCUAGGCACUGUACAAAUAUUAACUAACUCAUUCCUAAUAACAGCCCCAUGGAGUAGGUACUGUGGUUAUCCCCACUUUACAGAGGAGGAAACUGAGGCACAGGGAGGUUAACUUGCCCAGGUCACACAGCUGGUAAGUGGCAAAGCUGGGAUUCAAACCCAGGCAGAGUGGUUCUCAUAUCCUCUCACAAAACUCUCAUAAGUUUCAUAUCCAAACUCAUAACCGCAUAAGUUACUGCUGACUCUGCAAUGUGGCAAAUAUAUCAAGAACAAUAAAAAUAUUCAUACCUUUUGUAACCCCAUUCCUGGGAAAUAUUCCAAAGCUACAUGCAUGACGAUAUCCAUUACUGUAGUAUUGAUAGGACUCAAAAACUGAAACCAUAAUUGUCCAUCAGUUGGUGAUUAGAGAAAUUUUGGUAGAUCAGCUCAGUGGAAUUUCAAGCAGUCAUGGAAAAUUAAAUUAUGAAGAUACGGCUCCAGAGAAAUAUUUUUACAAUAUAUUGUUAAGUAGAAAAAACAGAACAUAAAGUUGUGUGUCAUAUUUCAAAAUAUAUGCACAUGACCGAACAGAAAAGGAAUGAAGACAAAAUAGGCAGAUAAUUGAGUCUGACAAAGAGAUUGUUGGUAAUUAUUUUUUCUUUCAAAGCUGUCCCUUUAGGUUGUUACAGUAGGGCUGUUACAAAUAAAACCUGGAGAAAGGGAAGUAUGCCUUAAAGUAUUUAUGAGAAUAAACCAUAUUUUUACCAGCCAUGGACAUUCAGAAGGAAACUUGCAAGAGGGAUGGUUUUACUGCAUUUCAAUGUUCUCUGAGCCCGGCUCCCCCUUGUCGGGGAAGGAGAAGGACCGUGCUGGCAGCUGGAAUGAGCGCUGCCCUCAACCGCCAUGCUGGAGAACUCCAGCAGGGAGGAACCAUGGCUGCGCGGAUUGCAGGCCCAGCCACAACCCCACAGAUCAUAGCAGCGGAAGAAGCAAAGGCUGAUUUUCACAGGCUCUUCACACACAAGCACGUGAUCUAAAGAAACGCAGCCCAGUCCGGGGAAAUUUAGGCUCAGAUCUCACCUCAGAGGACAAUUUAGGGAUGUGCCACAUUCUUUGCUUCCUUAUCUAUCUGUGCCACAUACCACCACCCAACAGUCCCUGGGAAGGAGACGAGAGUGAUCGUGACCAUUUCUUGGAUCCAUCCUGAAACUCCAAGAUGUGAAAUCCUUAGACUCCCUAAGGGGUCAAGUCAAAGAAAAACAAGACAAAAAUGUUCUCCUGAAAAGGAACAACCAAGCAAGGUGAAAGUAAAAGGUACCAUAGAGAUGAGUCAUUAGCCUCACCAAGGAAUAAACUUGAGUCGAGGUAAAAACCAAGACAAAAAGAGGCUGGCCCCAUGGCCUGGUGGUUAAGUUCACACGCUCUGCUUCAGUGACCUGGGGUUCACCAGUUUGGAUCCUGGGCAAGGACCUACACUUGGCUCAUCAAGCCAUGCUGUGGCAGCAUCCCACAUAGCAGAACUGGAAUGACUUACAACUAGGAUGUACAACUAUGUACUGGGGCUUUGGGGAGGAAAAAAAAUAAAGAGGAAGAUUGGCAACAGAUGUUAGCUCUGGGCCAAUCUUCCUCACCAAAAAAAAAAAAAAAAAGCAUACGAAAUAAUAAAGUUGAGAAUUAUAAAAAAAGGCAGGGGAGGGAAAAUUGGCACAGAUGUUAGCUCAGGGAGAAUCUUCCUCAGCAAAAAAAAAAAAAAAAGAAGAAGAAGAAGAAGAAAAAAAUAUCAGGAACAACUGAAUGGAUGAAACUGAAUAGUUUCAAAGAAAUGAUAUAUUAUUCUGAAUUCAGCAACUCUGUUUAUGAGGGGUUUAUCCAUUCACAAGUCCCAACCAACUGCCUUAUCCAGAAGCCAGGAGAGCAUCUUUCAGCCCCUAUGCUUAAGGACUGUGGCAACAUUCUAAAGCACACUUAGUGUAUACCCUUUCCCACUCCUACCCUUACCUUCUUUUACCAGCUGGACACACCGAAAAAUAUCAAUCUGGCCAGGGCAGCCAGUCCUUGACUGCAACCAAAUGAAGGUGCAAAGUCUUCAGAACUGAGCCUAAAAGUGUUGUCAUUUAAUCCACAGUUUUAUUGAAAAGAUCAUUAAUGCCUGUAAGCAGUUUGUUGGACUGCAGGCGAAAACCUGUAAGGGAUUUUUCAGACAGACGGUAGUGGCCUAGAAACACAUCAUACUUCAUUUUGAUUGCUUUUAGCAGAAAAUGCAAAUAAUAUAUAGAAGGAGCUUAUUGUUUAAAUAUCACUCCUAGUCCCCAAAAGUAAAAUGACCACCUGCCACACAGACACACAGACAUACAGACACACAGACACACACACACAGACACACACAGAGACACAAACACACACACACACACAGACACACACACACACACACCCUUCCCUGUUCUUCCCUCUCAGACUCUGUCUGGAAACAUCUGCAUAGUUCUCCAGCCAUAAACACCCUCCCUGUCAGCGGAUUAGUGAAAGGAACUGGCAUUUUAAAUUAAUCUUCGCUUAUCCUCAACGAUGGCUUUGCCGCCAUACCGAAAAAAUCAAAGGAAGUUUUUCCUCUGCUUAAAAAUAACAAUGCCUUUAAGGGACUCAGGGCAAGAUGAGCUGAGUAUACGUUCACAUAAAAGUGAGAAGGAAAAUAACACAACUUGAACACUUUUUUCACUUAAAAUCACCGUUUUCAAAAUCACUUUUCAAAAAAACAAAGCAAAGGCCAGGACUUAUCAUGCUCAACAGGCUUUUUAAAAAAGUGUUUUCCCCGAAAAAUGUCCACAGGGAACUGCCUUAAGAAGAAGUUCAAACGAGAGCCUUUGUCACUCCCUGCCUUCAAGUGAAACUUUAGGCCAAAGAAUCUUAAGAGUCAGGAUCAUCUCUGCCCUCUGCUCUCCCCUCCCUUCACAGUCCUCAAAGAGCAGACUUUAAAAAGAUUUCAAAGAGGGAAUUUAAGAGGGUUUCUGAAAGUUUUCCGCAGCGCUCUCAUCACUCAUCAUGAGCCCUCUGGACAGGAAUGACACUUGUUAAGUUUUUUUCCCUCUCCCUCCCUCCACCUGUUGUCUCAAGUCUCCCUGGUAUGCCGGGCCAUUCGCACUUUCUGCUGAAUGACGUCUCCCCGGGCACCCAGCGUCUCCCUUCCACCCAAGUGGCUGCUUCUAAAUUGGAGCCCCUGGAAAAAUAGGUACCAAUUCCGGGCACUUGAUAUCUGAGCAUCACAGAACGGUCAUAGAUGAGGACACUGAGGCUCAGGGUUCGUGGUGGCGAAGCGGAACCUAGACCAGAGACAUGCCUGCUGCUGAUUCUCCUCAGUACUCCCCACCACCUUCCCCACCCUACAUAUUUUGUGCAUGAAAAUAAGAGGACCAAUCUGGAAGAGGCAAAAAUAGCUGUGUAACUUAAAUCUGAAAAGCAUGAACAAACGGGCAGUCAGAGACCAGCUCCAGGGCUCACCCAGUUUAGGCUUCAGGCAAGUCAUCAGUCAUUUUUAAAGUCAGCUUCAUAUAGUGAUUUUGAAAAGGAAGAUAAAAGGUUUUUGCAAAGAGUCAACAUAGCUUCAAGAAGAAGCCUGAAAAAUUGUGUGAGCUAGCAAAAAUCACAUUAGCAUCCAUUCACUGCCAUUAGCGUUAAAAGGGAUUUACAUUCACUUUGUACGGACAUUAAAAAGCACUGCAGGCCGUGACAGAAUGCCCGCUGUAGGGGUUAACAGGGAAGCGGUGGGUCCAUCAAUUAAGUUCCCAUCAAGUCAGGACUAGAAAAAUCCAGAGGCCACAGAUAAUUUCUACAGACUGGUACAGUGCAAACAUAUGUGCAAGUCUGUCUGCUUUAACCUAUAUACUCAAUCCAAUCCAUUCUAAAGUGAUAUUUAGUUAUUGUUCCAGUUCCACAUACUUCAUCAAAGGGACUUUUUAAGAAUAUGGUCAAAUUAAAAGAUAAAACCACUAGAUGAAAGUUUGUUGGGAAACGGGAUGUUCAGAGGGUCCCACGGUGUCACUCCCAUAGACAACGCACUCACCACGAAGAGAAAAAUGUCCCAUUAUGAGGGAGACAAAUGGCAGUGACCACCUUGACCAAGGGCUCAGACUUAGGGGAACGCAUCACCCACUGCAUGUCCUGGCCAAAAUGCUCAACCUGAAUCUGGCCAUGAGGAAACCAUAGACACAUCCAAAUCAUUCUUCAUUCUACAAGACAGCUAGCCUGGACUUUUCCACCAUGAAGAACAGAAAAAGGCAGGUACGCUCGCUAAAUUAAAAGAGACAUCAGGAACAAAUGCGCCUGUGAACCUGAACCAGCAAGGGUUUUAAAAACAGCUAAAUGAGACAUUCUUCUGGAAAUUAGAAAAAGUUAGAAAUCUAGUAUUUAUUAGAAAAAAUAUUUAAAGUAAGACUAACUUCCUUAGAUAUGAUAACAGAAUUAUGGUUAUGCAACUUACUUUUGAAUUGCUCAAAUAUAUAUAUAUAUAUAUAUUUAUUUAUUUAUAGAGAAAGAGAGAGAGAGAGAAGAGAGCACACCUGAAAGAGCAAGGAAGAGCACAAAUGCAGUUCCCCCCAAAUCAAAGAUUAAUACGGUCAAAAUUGUAUCCUUGGUUGAAACAAAUCUGAAGCAGAAUGAGUGAGGGAUGAGGCGGCAGAAGUGAUCCCAGGCGUUCCUGUUACUGGCUUGGGAAUAAGAAGUGAAAUGUGUUUGGUUUCCUAUAAAUAGAAAUAUUAGUUAUCCUUUUACCUUAAAAGGUCCAUCUUUAUACCACAGCUUGAAGGGUGUCAAGAGGAUGUUUCUGGGUAUAAAAGGAGAAUGAGUCUUGGGUUUUCCCUAUUAAGGAUCUGAAAAACAGUCACCUUGAGCCACGAUGAGCAGAGGAGAAAAUGUGAUGCUCACUUCUGUUUCGCAGGAAGGAGCAGACCUUGAGAAGCUCUGAAGGGACCCAGUCUACUCUAAGGGCAGAAAAACCAAGACGGGAGGGAGGAUAACAUACCCAAGGAUGGUUUUAAAAAUCCCCUUGAGGGAUCUGAGAAGACUAGAGCCAGUGGAUAAAUGGUUAGUUUAUGAAUGGCCUCCAUUUCCAGGCAGACAAAAGGGUAGCCUAAGCAGAAAAUACAGUAGAGGGAAAAAUGAGGAUUCCUAUCCCGGCCUGACCACUACCUCACUACGUGACCUUGAACAAUUCACUUGACUUCUCUGAUGCUCACUGGCCUUACCUAGCGAAACAGGAGGACUGGCCUACAGCAGCUCUCAGAUGCCUUCCAGGUCUAAAACCUAAGGCUCUGAGGGGCAGUCCGGUCUUCAAGACAGGGCAGUGCCAAUGUGUAAGGUCUAUUCCUAUCUUUGUUUUAAAAUAGUUUUUUUAAUCUUAUUAUAAAAUGAAUACAGGCUCACUGAAAAUAAAAAUAGAAAGUAUAGAAAAAAAAGAAAAGACAAAUGUCUAUAAUUGCACCACCCAGAGUUAGAACCACUGUUAACAUCUUUAUGUUUGUUCUUUAGAUGUUUUUCCAGGCUUACAAGCCCCCCACACACCCAAACACAUUUUUUUAAAAACAUGAGAUCCCUGUACACGUUAUUUGUAACUUUUUUUAUUUAACAAUAUCAUGUGGUUUGUAUUCCAUAUUAAUAAAUUUAAGAUAAUGGCAUCAUUCUAAUGGCUGAGUGGUACACGCCAUUAUACAUGCACAUGAUUUAAACUGAGAAACAUCUAGAUGGUUUCUAAUGUUUUGCUCUUUUAGAAAAUGCUGCAACAAAUAUCCUUCUGUUCAUCCUUAUUAUGUAUAUAACAAAGUCUAUAAGUCAAUAUUUAAUCACA
ensembl:lncRNA